CUUAACUUCGGCUCAGGCUCAGUGUAACUUGAGGAGACGAACUAUUUGAAAUCCCGUGAAAAACCGCUUUAAUCGUUUUAAUCGAGCGUUUUGGAUUUAGGGGAAUCGAUUUUGAAUUUUCUAUCGCGAUACCUUAAUUAGCAUGACGAAUUAAAAUUUCUGUCGUCUGCUCUGUUUCCUUCAUAACUUUUGUGAACGAAAAGCACUUAAAACAGACCAAGUUUGAGAUUAAAUAGAAAACGGAACUAUAUCCUAAUUGGCUGCACGCAAAAUAGUGCAGCAAUUAAAAUUGUAAAAAUGUGGUCGUCGUGUGAACUCCCAUCUCUCCAUGUUUGGCAGAUAAAUCAGCAUUCUUCUUGAUUGAAGAAACUAUACCGAUGUCGGCAGAGUUCCGGAUCUCUUCUUCCCCUUGUGAGUACACCCAUAUGUGAGUGUGGGUGUAUUCACCCUUUUUCCUAUUCCGCCUGGUGGAUUCAACUUAUUUCUGUGGAUGGAGCACUUUUGGAUACCUGGCUGUGGAUUUCCCAGGCUUAAAGGUAGGACAAAAUUGAUCUCUAUUCUUUCUUUGGUGGCGUUGAUUAUCAAUCGUGUCGUAGUAUGAUUAUUCCUGAGUUGUUGGUGUGAAUAAUGGUGUCCCUUCAAGGCGCUUCAAGGCUCUGCGUUACAGUAAUUUUCUUUUGGAAAUUGAUUGCCGGUAUUAUUGUAGGAGAACGUGUCGCGUAUAAAUGAAGUAGGUAACUACCAUGCAAAGCUUGUUUUUCGUCCCAUUCGGUUAGUACGUAUACGUAUAUACUUUGCACUAAUAUUUGUGUAUUGUAUACAGACACAGCAUCUACUGAGACAAUGACAUGUAGGAAAUAUCUAAACAGAUUCAUAUUGAAGAGUAAUCAAUAAUCACCUUUGAAGAGAAAUCUAGAUAGAUCGAGGAAUACGUCAGUAUUUACUCUUGAGUCUUGAUAGAGGAUUGAUUGAUAGAACAA